GGGGACAGAGCUUGAAAUAUGGGGGUAAAACAUGGCAUGAAAAAGGGUUGCUUCUUUCUAUGAACAUAUAUAGACAUCAAAGAAGAUGACUCUAAAGCAAUCAAAAUACAAAAUUUCUAGAAAGGGGAUUAAUAAUAGAGCAACUUUCAGAGUUGAGAGGAGAUGGAAUCAAGCUUGGCUAUGGAAGGCCUUGGAAAGCCCAGGACAGAUUCCCAGAACCAGGAGGAUGGUUGGGUGACAGCAGUGCAUGGUGGGAAGUUUCCCUGGCAUUAAAGGUUUACUGUGAAAAAAAUCAGCAGUGCUUAUGAUACCAGCUGAAAAUGGGAGAGCUCACUGUAAGGUGGUCUGUGCAUCAAGGUCUGCCUGCCAAAGCAAAGAUUAAGACAGUGUAUUAAGUCUUUAAAAAAAAAAAAAGAAAAGAAAGAAAAAGAAAACUUGCCCCAACGUAGUGUUGAAAGAGCCUGUUGAGGAAUCUAGACUUGAAACUUCCUUAUUCAUGUUUCUUCCUCAUUGGUGUCCUUCUUGGGGUCCAGCUUCUGGGACCCUCUAUUUGGAUGGUGGCUGGCUGCUAGGACAUCUAUCUGUAGGAGGCCAAGUGGCAGUGACUGUUAGCUCUCUGGAUUGCUGUGGACUCCCUCAGGCUGACCAACGUGUCUUCAAACACUUUAUAGUUUUUCCAGACUGACUUCCAGUAGAUGAUUUGCACUUAGGAGGGAGGCCAGUUCUUGGGGAAAAGGUUAAGUCAACUGAAUUGAGACAAGGGGAAGGGGUGCUAAUUCCUGUGCCUGUCAUCUUGUCCUUUUGUUGGAGAGGGGGACCGAGUGCAAACAUUUAUAAUUUAGCAAGAAGUGGAAGAAAGAUAGUGGAGAUCCCAGAUGCAGAUGGAAGUACAGGAGGGUAAAGGAUAGCCAUUAGAGGAAAACUGGGGAGCAGAACCUGUGUGAGGAUUGUUAUAGAUAAAAAUUGGUGGCACUGUUCUGAUCUAAUCUUUCUGGAUUAUUCUAAAAAAAAGGACACCUUGUAGGAUAAGAAAAUCUGGCAUCAAAUUUAUACUUUCACAAAAAGUGCUUGACUGUUUAUUCUGGUUGUCUGGGGAGGGGAGCUCUACUUUUAAAUUUUAAAUUUAAAGAUGAAUUUUCCAGGGUGAGGAAGAAAUAGCAGUGUCUCAAGUCCCUCAUGCUAGGAUUUAUCCAGCCUGCCUGGAGGUGCCUGUCUUCACAUUCGGGCAUUUCAACUGUCCCAGACAGAGUUGCUUUGUAACACCACCCACACUUGAAAUUCAAGGACUGAGAGGGCUGUGUCUGGUUAGGAUGCCUCAGUUCUUGGGGAAUGCUUAAAUCUUUAAGAAUGCUUAAAUCUCCUGGAAAUAAAGACAGGCCAGCAUCUGCCUAGAUGUCAUUCACUUUACAUAGACAGGGUGCCCCCUAGUGGACACCAAGUGGAC
rnacentral:lncRNA from 1 species